rnacentral:rRNA from 1 species
GCAGUAGCCGCGGUAAUACGAAGGGUGCAAGCGUUAAUCGGAAUUACUGGGCGUAAAGCGUGCGUAGGCGGUGAGUUAAGUCUGCUGUGAAAUCCCCGGGCUCAACCUGGGAAUGGCAGUGGAUACUGGCUCGCUAGAGUGUGUCAGAGGAUGGUGGAAUUCCCGGUGUAGCGGUGAAAUGCGUAGAGAUCGGGAGGAACAUCAGUGGCGAAGGCGGCCAUCUGGGACAACACUGACGCUGAGGCACGAAAGCGUGGGGAGCAAACAGGAUUAGAUACCCCCGUAGUCCCUGUCUCUUAUAC